GCUCAAUCCCUAAUUUUUGGG
rnacentral:snRNA from 1 species